rnacentral:lncRNA from 1 species
GUAGUUGCAAGCUGUCAACGAGAUAGGAAAAUUUUUUCAGCAUCAAGUUUGAAUCAAGAUCAGUUCUGCCAACUGAAUGAAGACGCUGCUUGUAAAGCUGAGUAAUUUAAGACUUAGAGGGUAUGCCCUGAUGAAGAUUGAAGCAGCACAUGGCUUGAGGGCUGAAUGAAGGGAAAACCUGCUCACUGAAUGCAUGUACUAUCCCUUUUCCUUUUCCAGUACAUAGCAUUAAAUGUGGCGUGUCCUAGGCAACAACGGUUGAAAUCUCGCUUCGGUCAUCCUUCGAUUGUUGUAAUCUGAACGAUAUCGGUUUCUGAAGGCAUGAGCCCAUUAGGUGUGAAAACUCUAUUGGAACUGAUUUAGUUUCUGCAAAUUCACUAAGAGCAUUUGAUGAUAAACCCACAGAUCUAGAUUGACACUUUAUUAAAGCACUAGCUUGAAAAACUGUAUGAGGUUGAACAUCUAGUAAUUUCCUAGGUGAUGGAACCUUCAUCCAUG